UACGUAGGGGGCAAGCGUUGUCCGGAUUUAUUGGGCGUAAAGAGCGUGUAGGCGGUUAGGUAGGUCCGUUGUGAAAACUCGAGGCUCAACCUCGAGACGCCGAUGGAAACCAUCUGACUAGAGUCCGGAAGAGGAGAGUGGAAUUCCUGGUGUAGCGGUGAAAUGCGCAGAUAUCAGGAGGAACACCGGUGGCGAAGGCGGGUCUCUGGGCAAUAACUGACGCUGAGGAGCGAAAGCGUGGGGAGCGAACAGG
rnacentral:rRNA from 1 species